rnacentral:tRNA from 1 species
GGGAAUGUAGCUCAGUGGUAGAGCGCUUGCCUUGCAUGCUCGAGGCCCUGGGUUCGAUUCCUCAGCACCA